AUCAACAUUAAAAUCAGAGCUAGUAUGUAUAGACAUCUAUAAAAGUCAGGACACAUGGUGAUUAUCUUGGCAAAUGUUAGCUAUUAAUUUUUAUAUUUUGUAAGAGAGAAAAUUGAGCUGACAGAUAGAAAUAGUCAGUGAGACUGAAGAUCUAAUUUCAUCUGUGCUUAUCAAUGACCAGGCAGUGGAUGGUGUUCCAUAAGCAGGUGGUGAUGGAUUCGUUUGGUCUGUGGCACAGUCAGUGAUUAAUCAAGGGGAGGAGAUAUAUGCUGUUUUUGAUCAGUGGUACACUGUGGGCCAUGGAGCUAGCCAUGGGGAACUCUAGGAUCCUAGAAAAGCUUUUCUACCCAUUUCAAAGCCAUUCAAAUGCAACUUCAGUUCCGAUUUGUGUCCUUGAUUGUGGGAUGAAGAUAACAACAGCAGACCCAAAACAGGAAAAGAUGAGACACAUGUUUUGAGGCUCAAUUGGUUAUUCUGAGGAUUCUUCCAGAGCCAGAAGUGAACAGGCACAGAAAAUUUAGAUUUCUACUGACAUGGUAUGGGCAAUACUGACUCAAAAAUUCAAAGCUGAAGAAACAUAACAGGAAGAUGGAUGCCAACUACAUCAGAUUUUAGUGUUCAGAACAUGGAGGACAUGGUAUCCAGCUAGAGGUGGAAAUGGAAAGAGAAUCGCAAAGCCAAGUGCAACUUGAAGUGAAGUUGACGAGAGGUGUUGAUGACUCACAGAGAACUGGUACUGCUAGACACAGAGGAAAGCAGGUGGAUUCCAGCUGUAUUUUGGAUGUUUAAUAUACAUGACUCCAUGGUUCAUUGAAUGCAAGAGUUAAGAAAGAGAUCUGGUGUAAACAUUAUGCAUUCAUGCUGUAGAUUCUUCGAUUCCUCUAUCAGGAAGAAUUGCCUACCUUGUGCUUACUCAACAUAGUCGAUUGCUGAGCAACAUUCUUUGCCAUAUAUGCUGUUGAUGUGUCUGUCUGUUUCUCCACUUAAAGUGGGGGAGAAUGAGCUACUUGAGAAAGUGUUGAGAAACAAAACCACAGAGAUGCCCUGAGUUCUGCAUUCCCAUUGACAAGUCACUAGGAAGAGUAAGGUCAGCUCUGAACUCUGCCAAGUUCUGCCUUUAGUGCUGCAGCAUGAAAUGAGUAUGAGUCCAAAAUUCACCUGGCUAUGGUCAAGUGUGAACUGUCCUGCAUGGAUUUAGAUGUUUGAAUACUUGGUACCAAGAUGAUACCACUGUUUGGGAAGGUUGUGGAACUUUCAGGAGGAGGAGAAUUGCUGGUGGAAAUGGACCACUGGGGAUGAACCCAAGGCUUCCUAUUUGGUCUCUGCUUCCUGAGUGUGGAUAUAAUGUGAUCAGCCAGCCUCCUGGUCUUGUCACCAUGCCUAUUCCCUCAUCUUUCCCUGCAUGAUGGAGUGUACCCCACUGGAAUUGCAAGACAAAAAUAAAACAGUGAGAAAUUAACAAGGACAAUCUUA